UCCUUACAGAUGCCAGUUCCGUCAGUGAUUCUGUGAUGGUGACCUUGGUUAAGGCGGAUUUAUGGAUCUUUAUUUUUUGAGACGCUGGAGGUUUGACCCUGGUAUUGAUCAGAGGGUUCCGUUUAUUUCGGAUCCCUGGGCUGAAUUUGAGGAUACUUGCUCAGAUGGUGAUUUGGUUCUGAAGUUUGGGUAACAGAUGACCUUGGGUUCCAGUUGAUUUGGAUCUAUGGUUUCCGGUGCCGAGUUCAUGCCGAAGUUUUGAUCCUGUG
rnacentral:lncRNA from 1 species